AGAUAUUUGUCACUGAACAGUAUGAAACGUAUAGACAAUAAAUAAACCUAUGCAAAAUGUGUCAUUUUAGGCAAUACAACGUAUUGAUCAAUCAAUCAAUCAAUCAAUCAAUCAAUCAAUCAAAUCAUGAUCAGAGUGAUCAAAUCAUGAUCACAUUGAUCAAAUCAUGAUAAGAGAUCGAUCAAUCAAUCAAGUGUUGAUAUCAAUCAAGUGCAGAAUCCGAAAUAAACGUCCCAUCGC
rnacentral:lncRNA from 1 species